rnacentral:rRNA from 1 species
UACGUAGGGGGCUAGCGUUGUCCGGAAUCAUUGGGCGUAAAGCGCGCGUAGGCGGCCCGGUAAGUCCGCUGUAAAAGUCCAGGGCUCAACCCUGGAAAGCCGGUGGAUACUGUCGGGCUCGAGUCCGGAAGAGGCGAGUGGAAUCCUGGUGUAGCGGUGGAAUGCGCAGAUAUCAGGAGGAACACCAAUGGCGAAGGAGCUCGCU